GAAGGAGGAGCUUGCUCUUCUGGAUGAGUUGCGAACGGGUGAGUAACGCGUAGGUAACCUGCCUGGUAGCGGGGGAUAACUAUUGGAAACGAUAGCUAAUACCGCAUAAGAGUAGAUGUUGCAUGACAUUUGCUUAAAAGGUGCAAUUGCACCACUACCAGAUGGACCUGCGUUGUAUUAGCUAGUUGGUGGGGUAACGGCUCACCAAGGCGACGAUACAUAGCCGACCUGAGAGGGUGAUCGGCCACACUGGGACUGAGACACGGCCCAGACUCCUACGGGAGGCAGCAGUAGGGAAUCUUCGGCAAUGGACGGAAGUCUGACCGAGCAACGCCGCGUGAGUGAAGAAGGUUUUCGGAUCGUAAAGCUCUGUUGUAAGAGAAGAACGAGUGUGAGAGUGGAAAGUUCACACUGUGACGGUAUCUUACCAGAAAGGGACGGCUAACUACGUGCCAGCAGCCGCGGUAAUACGUAGGUCCCGAGCGUUGUCCGGAUUUAUUGGGCGUAAAGCGAGCGCAGGCGGUUAGAUAAGUCUGAAGUUAAAGGCUGUGGCUUAACCAUAGUACGCUUUGGAAACUGUUUAACUUGAGUGCAAGAGGGGAGAGUGGAAUUCCAUGUGUAGCGGUGAAAUGCGUAGAUAUAUGGAGGAACACCGGUGGCGAAAGCGGCUCUCUGGCU
rnacentral:rRNA from 1 species